GUCUACAGCCAUGCCCCCCUGAACACGCCCAAUCCUGUGUGAUUUUGGAAGCUAAGCAGGGUUGGGCCUGGUUAGUACUUGGAUGGAAGACCAGGUGCUGUCGGCG
rnacentral:rRNA from 1 species